GUCCAGACUCCUACGGGAGGCAGCAGUGGGGAGUAUUGCACAAUGGGGGAAACCCUGAUGCAGCGACGCCGCGUGAGCGAUGAAGUAUUUCGGUAUGUAAAGCUCUAUCAGCAGGGAAGAAAAUGACGGUACCUGACUAAGAAGCCCUGGCUAACUACGUGCCAGCAGCCGCGGUAAUACGGAGGAUGCGAGCGUUAUCCGGAUUUAUUGGGUUUAAAGGGUGCGUAGGCGGAUUUUUAAGUCAGCGGUAAAAUGUCCGGGCUCAACCCGGGCCGGCCGUUGAAACUGGGGAUCUUGAGUGGGCGAGAAGUAUGCGGAAUGCGUGGUGUAGCGGUGAAAUGCAUAGAUAUCACGCAGAACCCCGAUUGCGAAGGCAGCAUACCGGUGCACAACUGACGCUCAGGCACGAAAGCGUGGGUAUCGAACAGGAUUAGAUACCCCUGUA
rnacentral:rRNA from 1 species